rnacentral:rRNA from 1 species
UACGUAGGGGGCAAGCGUUGUCCGGAAUCAUUGGGCGUAAAGCGCGUGUAGGCGGCUUGGUAAGUCCGCUCUGAAAGCCCGGGGCUCAACCCCGGGAGGCGGGUGGAUACUGUCAAGCUCGAGUCCGGAAGAGGCGAGUGGAAUUCCUGGUGUAGCGGUGAAAUGCGUAGAUAUCGGGAGGAACACCAGCGGUGUAGACGGCUUACUGGACCAUGACUGACGCUGAGGCACGAAAGCGUGGGGAGCAAACAGG